rnacentral:rRNA from 1 species
GAUGAACGCUAGCUACAGGCUUAACACAUGCAAGUCGAGGGGAAACGGCAUUGAGUGCUUGCACUCUUUGGACGUCGACCGGCGCACGGGUGAGUAACGCGUAUCCAACCUUCCCAUUACUGUGGGAUAACCUGCCGAAAGGCAGACUAAUACCGCAUAGUCUUCGAUGACGGCAUCAGAUUUGAAGUAAAGAUUUAUCGGUAAUGGAUGGGGAUGCGUCUGAUUAGCUUGUUGGCGGGGUCACGGCCCACCAAGGCGACGAUCAGUAGGGGUUCUGAGAGGAAGGUCCCCCACAUUGGAACUGAGACACGGUCCAAACUCCUACGGGAGGCAGCAGUGAGGAAUAUUGGUCAAUGGACGGAAGUCUGAACCAGCCAAGUAGCGUGCAGGAUGACGGCCCUAUGGGUUGUAAACUGCUUUUGUAUGGGGAUAAAGUUAGGGAUGUGUCCCUAUUUGCAGGUACCAUACGAAUAAGGACCGGCUAAUUCCGUG